rnacentral:misc_RNA from 1 species
UGUCAAUUACACACCCAGAUUCAGUUUACAUCAAUGUAUAUGUACAGUAUUUUGUGUUAUGACCAGGACUGUCACAUCUCCCAUCACCAACAAGUGAAACAACCUUUCUGGUGUGUUCAAUGUAAGAGUAUAUGGUACUGCAGUCGGGAACAUCAAAAAAAGCAUUGGAGUAUUCAUAAAAGUUUUUGUAAGCAGAAAAAAAAAGAGCUGGUUUCUUUGCGUGAAUAUGAAAAAAAAAAAGUCUCCCAAUACUCUCACUCCCAGCUAAACCAAACUAAAGUACCUUUUAUCUUGCCAGAGUCCAGUCAAAGAGGUUUGGAAAAUACUUUGUCAAGCUCUUAUUCGGAUUCAACUACAUUUGUAAAUGUUCCUAUAUAUCAGCAACAUCCUAAUAAAGUACAUUUUCAUCCUCAAGAAAAAGUUCCAUAUGGUGUUGCUACAAACAAGAAUUUUUUAAAUAAUUUAUGCAUUUCUAAUGUACAACAAGAUUCAUCUAUGGGCAGUUCUAACCCAAUUUUAUCCCCCUCAAAGUCAACAGAAAAUUAUUCAUUUGCAGAGACGUUGUUUGCAUCAGAAAAUUUUCUGGGUUCCGGUGAUACUUUAACAAAUCUAUUAGAUAACCCAAUUUUAGAUGAUGUAGACUUUGGUGAUGCUGCUAGUUUAUAUCUUGAUACUGUCAAUUUACAUUCUAAUGAUAAUAAAUUUGAAGAAAAAUUGAAUCAGUUGCCCUUUCAAUCUAGCUCCAUAAAUAAUCCCUCGCAAAAUUUAUCUGACAUAAUGUUAGGUAACAGUUUUCAAAGUAAUCACGAUAUAUCAAAUCCAACUUUACAUUUUUCUAAUAAGUUGUACAAAAGCAACCAAGUUAAUCAGGAUUUAGACUUUCGUAAUAUGUUGUGCCAAACCAGCCUCAAUAUAUCUAAUCAGGCUUUACAUAUUAGGACUGAGUUGUAUCAACGAGGCUACUGCAUAAUUGAUAAUUUUUUAAGUCAAGAAUUUGCAAAAGGAGUUUUAGCUGACGUAAACACAGCAUUUAAGUCUGGUGCAAUGCAAGCUGGUCAAAUAGUUAAUAGAAUACAUAACAAAGAUAUACGUGGUGAUUUUGUUAUGUGGCUUUCAGGGCAUGAGGAACAAUAUGAGUUUAUUACUCAACUCACAAUAGUUAUAGAUCAACUUAUAGCUGCUUUUAGCAAACUUGUUCAUGACGUUGUUAUUAAAGGUAGAACUCCGGCAAUGGUAGCAUGUUAUCCUGGAAAUGGAUCUCAUUACAAGUGUCAUGUUGACAAUGCUAGAAAAGAUGGCCGGAUCAUAACAUGUUUGUAUUAUCUCAAUGAACAAUGGGAUUGUGAAGUACUUAAAUUACAUGUUUCUAAGAGAUGGAGGAAUGUUGCGAUUGUAUACUAUGAAUGAGAGAGUCAAUAUUGAACCAAUUUUCAAUCGUUUAUUGUUGUUUUGGUCUGACAAACGUACUCCACAUGAAGUUCUUCCAGCUUUUAGAAAAAGGUUUGCCAUCACAUUGUGGUAUUUUGAUGCAGCAGAAAGAGAAGUUGUCAAACAGGCAUACUUUCAGAGUUUGCAAUCUCAAUUUGCUUCUUGUGGAAGAGGUGAAUCUCAAGCGUCAUAAAAAAAUGUUCACAUAACUUUUAUGGUAAGUAGUGACAUUUUUAUAAGUUGCCUUAGCAAUGAGCAACUAAUAAAAAGUGUCAGUAAAAAAGUAAUAAAGUUAUCACGAUCUGUGACUACGUCAGCCAAAGUAACGCAUUUACGUUAAUUUUUAUGUCAAUCAAAGUAGUGUACACAUGUCUUCACUAUUAUAAAGUUUAUAAAUGUAUUUUUAAAAUAUUGCACGUUUUUAAUGAUUUUCUUUUUGCUGUUUUAUUUGGUUAAUUUAGUAGAUUAUUUUGUAGAAUCUAUUUAUUAUACUUGUAACCUAAUAAAUUUUAUUGACACA